AGACCUCUAUUCGGAAAAGA
rnacentral:rRNA from 1 species